CCGCACAGCUCCGGGCCGCGCCGACACACGCGAGCAGCCUCCGCGGCGCGGGCGGGCGACCCCGCGGCCAGCUUCAAAUAGAAAUCGCAGACCUUGUUAACAAGAAAACCCGUGAUCAGUUUCACCGACAGGAAGGAGGUCCAGGGAAGCAAGGACACAGGGAGGGAGACUGAAGAAAGCAAGCCUGAAGCCUGUGUGCAGAUGCAAAAUGGCUCUCUUCUGUAGGACCCCUUGUUCUGGUGGCAAGGGAGUAGGGUUGAGGGGUUGCGCAUCAGCAGCCUAUCGUGAGAACAUCCAAGUAGUUACGGAAGAGGUCUACGUGGAGAAGAACAGAAGCCUCCUGCUAAUUGCCACACAGUCAUGAGAGUGAGCUGCCUUUACAAAAUGAGCCUCCCUCUCUGUGAGGGAGGGAGCAAUCUCUGAGCCUCCCUCAAAUGAUUGCUAUCCCCGCCAGCAGAAGGACUCCAGUAGCAAGAAUGAUUCCCAGCAGAAGUGCCCAGCCAUACUGUUGCUGAAUUUCUGUUCUACACAAACUUGUGGCUGCUCAAACCCCAGCCAUUGAGUCCCCAGUCCAGCCAACAGGAAGGAAGAAGAGCAAGAAGAAUGUACCACCUCCUGUAAGGACACUUUUGUGUAUAUGCCAUUGGCCAGAACACAAGCAUAUGGUCACAUCUAAGUUCCAGGGAGGCUGAGGAGUCCUUGUUCUGGGCAGCCAAGUGUCCAGCUAAGAGUCAGAAAUUUAAGGAAAAAGAGAAACAUCAGGGCAAACUAGCAGCAUUUCUAUAGUAUAACCACACCUAUCUUCUUAGCAGACUCCUGUUAUUACCGAAAGUUAGCUAAGCUAGCACCUAGCAGCAAAUCCUGUUUAAUUCCAAUUCCCACUAGCAAAUACUGCUAGUUUGCAGUGUUGGUCAACAUAAGUCACAUGGCCAGCCCAGAUUCAUAAAAAGGGGAAAUAGGCUCUACCUUCUGAUGCAGUGAUUGGCAAAGAGUGCAGAUAAAGCCAGCUGCCUCAUUCCUACAGAUCCAGCCGAUUUCCCCUUUUUAUGUAUCUGUAUUUCCCCUUUUUAUGAAGUCUGUAUUCCUGGGACUAAUUUUGCUGUGAAAGAUCCAAGCUGGCCUGUGGAGAGGAGUCCAUAUAUGGGAGCACCAUCGCACCACACAUGGCAAUCAAGUCUUCUCAGACCUUCUAGCCCAGCCAGACACCAGCUGAAGGCAGCUCAUAGAAUCAUGACCAACUACAUUGAUUGUUGUAUUAAUUUUAGAGUGGAUGUUACACAGCCACAGGUAACUGAAACUAAAAAGGAAAGGUUAUUCUAGGGAGAGGAAGCAGCAUAAGAAAAUAUACAGCGGGGAUGCUUGAGUGGCUCAGUAGGUUUAGCAUCUGUCUAUGGCUCAUGUCACAAUCUUGGGA